UACGGGGGGGGCAAGCGUUGUUCGGAAUUACUGGGCGUAAAGGGCUCGUAGGUGGCCAACUCAGUCAGACGUGAAAUCCCUCGGCUUAACCGGGGAACUGCGUCUGAUACUGGAUGGCUUGAGGUUGGGAGAGGGAUGCGGAAUUCCAGGUGUAGCGGUGAAAUGCGUAGAUAUCUGGAGGAACACCGGUGGCGAAGGCGGCAUCCUGGACCAAUUCUGACACUGAGGACGCGAA
rnacentral:rRNA from 1 species